rnacentral:rRNA from 1 species
AGUCGAGCGGACCGACGGGAGCUUGCUCCCUUAGGUCAGCGGCGGACGGGUGAGUAACACGUGGGUAACCUGCCUGUAAGACUGGGAUAACUCCGGGAAACCGGGGCUAAUACCGGAUGCUUGAUUGAACCGCAGGGUUCAAUYMUAAAAGGKGGCUUUUARCUACCACUUDCMGAUGGACCCSCGGCGCAAUARCUAGUUGGKGAGGUAACGGCUCMCCMAGGSSACSAWGCSUARCCSAMCUGARAGGGUGAUCGGCCMCMCUGGGACUGARACMCGGCCCAGACUCCUACGGGAGGCAGCARUARGGAAUCUUCCSCAAUGGACSAAAGUCUGACGGARCAACMCCSCGUGAGUGAUGAAGGUUUUCSGAWCSUAAAACUCUGUUGUUAGGGAARAACAAGUACCGUUCSAAUARGGSGGUACCUUGACGGUACCUAACCARAAAGCCACGGCUAACUACGUGCCARCAGCCGCGGUAAUACGUARGUGGCAAGCGUUGUCCGGAAUUAUUGGGCGUAAAGCGCGCGCAGGCGGUUUCUUAAGUCUGAUGUGAAAGCCCCCGGCUCAACCGGGGAGGGUCAUUGGAAACUGGGGAACUUGAGUGCAGAARAAGAAAGUGGAAUUCCACGUGUAGCGGUGAAAUGCGUARAGAUGUGGAGGAACACCAGUGGCGAAGGCGACUCUCUGGUCUGUAACUGACGCUGAAGCGCGAAAGCGUGGGGAGCGAACAGGAUUAGAUACCCUGGUAGUCCACGCCGUAAACGAUGAGUGCUAAGUGUUAGAGGGUUUCCGCCCUUUAGUGCUGCAGCAAACGCAUUAAGCACUCCGCCUGGGGAGUACGGUCGCAAGACUGAAACUCAAAGGAAUUGACGGGGGCCCGCACAAGCGGUGGAGCAUGUGGUUUAAUUCGAAGCAACGCGAAGAACCUUACCAGGUCUUGACAUCCUCUGACAACCCUAGAGAUAGGGCUUCCCCUUCGGGGGCARAGUGACAGGUGGUGCAUGGUUGUCGUCAGCUCGUGUCGUGAGAUGUUGGGUUAAGUCCCGCAACGAGCGCAACCCUUGAUCUUAGUUGCCAGCAUUCAGUUGGGCACUCUAAGGUGACUGCCGGUGACAAACCGGAGGAAGGUGGGGAUGACGUCAAAUCAUCAUGCCCCUUAUGACCUGGGCUAC